GCAAGUCGAACGAUGAAGCCCUUCGGGGUGGAUUAGUGGCGAACGGGUGAGUAACACGUGGGCAAUCUGCCCUGCACUCUGGGACAAGCCCUGGAAACGGGGUCUAAUACCGGAUACUGAUCGCCUUGGGCAUCCUUGGUGAUCGAAAGCUCCGGCGGUGCAGGAUGAGCCCGCGGCCUAUCAGCUUGUUGGUGAGGUAAUGGCUCACCAAGGCGACGACGGGUAGCCGGCCUGAGAGGGCGACCGGCCACACUGGGACUGAGACACGGCCCAGACUCCUACGGGAGGCAGCAGUGGGGAAUAUUGCACAAUGGGCGAAAGCCUGAUGCAGCGACGCCGCGUGAGGGAUGACGGCCUUCGGGUUGUAAACCUCUUUCAGCAGGGAAGAAGCGAAAGUGACGGUACCUGCAGAAGAAGCGCCGGCUAACUACGUGCCAGCAGCCGCGGUAAUUCA
rnacentral:rRNA from 1 species